rnacentral:tRNA from 3 species
GCCGGGAUGGCGGAAUUGGUAGACGCAGCGGACUCAAAAUCCGCCGCCGCGAGGUGUGGGGGUUCGAGUCCCCCUCCCGGCACCA